rnacentral:rRNA from 1 species
GACGAACGCUGGCGGCGUGCUUAACACAUGCAAGUCGUACGGUAAGGCCCUUUCGGGGGUACACGAGUGGCGAACGGGUGAGUAACACGUGAGUAACCUGCCCACAACUUUGGGAUAACGCUAGGAAACUGGUGCUAAUACUGGAUAUGUGCUCCUGCUGCAUGGUGGGGGUUGGAAAGCUCCGGCGGUUGUGGAUGGACUCGCGGCCUAUCAGCUUGUUGGUGGGGUAGUGGCCUACCAAGGCGGCGACGGGUAGCCGGCCUGAGAGGGUGACCGGCCACAGUGGGACUGAGAUACGGCCCAGACUCCUACGGGAGGCAGCAGUGGGGAAGAUUGCACAAUGGGCGCAAGCCUGAUGCAGCAACGCCGCGUGCGGGAUGACGGCCUUCGGGUUGUAAACCGCGUUCAGCAGGGACGAAGCUUUUUGUGACGGUACCUGCAGAAGAAGCACCGGCUAACUACGUG